rnacentral:rRNA from 1 species
GACGAACGCUGGCGGCGUGCUUAACACAUGCAAGUCGAACGGAAAGGCCCUGCUUUUGUGGGGUGCUCGAGUGGCGAACGGGUGAGUAACGCGUGAGUAACCUGCCCUUUACUUUGGGAUAACUUCAGGAAACUGGGGCUAAUACCGGAUAGGAGCUCCUGCUGCUUGGUGGGGGUUGGAAAGUUUCGGCGGUUGGGGAUGGACUCGCGGCUUAUCAGCUUGUUGGUGGGGUAGUGGCUUACCAAGGCUUUGACGGGUAGCCGGCCUGAGAGGGUGACCGGCCACAUUGGGACUGAGAUACGGCCCAGACUCCUACGGGAGGCAGCAGUGGGGAAUAUUGCACAAUGGGCGGAAGCCUGAUGCAGCAACGCCGCGUGCGGGAUGACGGCCUUCGGGUUGUAAACCGCUUUCGCCUGUGACGAAGCGUGAGUGACGGUAAUGGGUAAAGAAGCACCGGCUAACUACGUG